rnacentral:rRNA from 1 species
UGGGGAAUCUUCCGCAAUGGACGAAAGUCUGACGGAGCAACGCCGCGUGAGUGAAGACGGCCUUCGGGUUGUAAAGCUCUGUGAUUCGGGACGAAAGGCCAUAUGUGAAUAAUAUAUGGAAAUGACGGGACCGAAAAAGCAAGCCACGGCUAACUACGUGCCAGCAGCCGCGGUAAUACGUAGGUGGCAAGCGUUGUCCGGAAUUAUUGGGCGUAAAGCGCGCGCAGGCGGUCACUUAAGUCCAUCUUAGAAGUGCGGGGCUUAACCCCGUGAUGGGAUGGAAACUGGGAGACUGGAGUAUCGGAGAGGAAAGUGGAAUUCCUAGUGUAGCGGUGAAAUGCGUAGAUAUUAGGAGGAAUACCGGUGGCGAAGGCGACUUUCUGGACUUUUACUGACGCUCAGGUACGAAAGCGUGGGGAGCAAACAGG